CAAUAGCGUAUAUUAAAGUUGUUGCAGUUAAAAAGCUCGUAGUUGGAUUUCUGGUGAGAGCGCUUGGACGGCCCAAUGGGUUUGCUCUAAAUCGUCUCUUGCCAUUCUUGGAGGGAACUUGUCUGGCAUUCAGUUGUCGGGCUUGAGAUCUCCAUCGUUUACUGUGAAAAAAUUAGAGUGUUCAAAGCAGGCUUAUGCCGUUGAAUACAUUAGCAUGGAAUAAUAAGAUAGGACUUUGGUACUAUUUUGUUGGUUUGCGUACCUAAGUAAUGAUUAAUAGGGACAUUGGGGGUAGUUCGUAUUCAAUUGUCAGAGGUGAAAUUCUUGGAUUAUGGAAGACGAACUACUGCGAAAGCAUUUACCAAGGAUGUUUUCUAUUAAUCAAGAACGAAAGUCAGAGGUUCGAAGACGAUUAGAUACCAU
rnacentral:rRNA from 1 species